AAAUAUGACACGUGUCGGAGUUGAAGCACCCGGUGCAUGUGAUGUGAUCCUGUGUGGCCGCGGCCAAUGAAAAUGGAACAGCGCCCCUUGUUUUCCAUAUAUUUGAUUCCGUCACAAAUUAUAUAUAUAGAGGAGUACCGGCAAAACUGCCAAACUUUAGAACUCUAGAACUCGCGAGAAUCUAGAGGAAGAUCGUGCGUGAAGCAGUGCUAAGUCAGAGAUUAUACACGACAAUAUGGGCCGGUUGAGCAGCACUAUAUAUGUUGGCAAUCUUCCUGGGGAUGUUCGUGAGAGUGAAAUUGAAGAUCUGUUUUAUAAGUAUGGACCUAUUGUUGAUGUUGAUGUGAAAACCCCUCCAAGAAUGCCUGGUUACGCUUUUGUUGAGUUUGAAGACUCUCGUGAUGCUGAGGAUGCCAUCAAUGGCCGUGAUGGCUAUAAUUUUGGUGGCUAUAGAAUACGGGUUGAAUUUGCACGUGAUAGGAAAGGAUCAUCACAUGACCAUUAUAGUAGCUUCAGCAGUGAGAAUGGCCGUAGUGGAUUGUCAAGGGAUUAUGAGUACAAAGGGAGGACUAACCGCUCAAGCAGAACUAUUUAUGUGGGUAAUCUUCCGGGGGAUAUUCGUGAGAGUGAAGUUGAAGAUUUGUUUUACAAGUAUGGCCCAAUUGUGGAUAUCGAUUUGAAAAUUCCUCCUAGACCACCUGGUUAUGCUUUUGUUGAGUUUGAAGAUUCUCGAGAUGCUGAUGAUGCCAUCCGUGGCAGAGAUGGCUAUAAAUUUGAUGGCCACCGAUUAAGGGUUGAACUUGCCCAUGGAGGAAGAGGAUCGGCUUCAUAUGAUUAUCAUAGUAGUUACAGCAGUGGAAGCAAUCGCGGUGGAGUUUCAAGGCGUUCUGAUUAUAGGGUUUUGGUUACUGGGCUUCCUUACUCUGCUUCAUGGCAAGACUUGAAGGACCACAUGCGCCGAGCUGGUGAUGUCUGUUUCUCAGAAGUUUACCGCGAGCGUGAUGGCACACAAGGAGUUGUUGACUAUACUAAUUAUGAUGAUAUGAAAUAUGCAAUAAAAAAGCUUGAUGAUUCUCUCUUUCGAAAUCAAUUUUCUCGUGCUUACAUAAGGGUAAGAGAGUAUAAUAGCAGACGAAGUUAUUCGAGGAGCUAUAGUAGUUCUUAUUCAAGAAGCAGGAGUCCCAGCCACAGCUAUGGAUAUAGUGGCCGUAGUCGAAGUGCCUCUCCCAGAGAAAAAUACUCUUAUCGCGGGUCAUCUCAAUCAGUUUCAUCUGUGUCAAGAUCUGCAUCACUUUCUCACUCGGAAUCAGGCUAGAUUAUGAUUUGCACAGAGAUCUGCCGAUCUGGGGACCUGCAUGUUAGGAACUUGAUGAUAUGCUGUGCUCAAGUUCAUGCAACUCAGAUAGUUCUGGCAGGUUUCUGUUAAGUUGGUUUCGCUCAAGAUCUGGACCUCCAGCUUUAUCUGAUCAUCAACCCAGGCGUGUCAAUGCUAGUCCAGCGCGCAGUUCCAGCAGGAGCCAAUCAAGAUCUCUUUCUCCCUCCGUGAGAUUCAACUGAAGCAACUUCGAGAUUAAACCCUCUUCUGUCAUUGUGGAUCAAUAUUCUGGACGAGCAUUUAAAGUAUGUCGGAGCUGUUCACAAUAGUUGGGUAACUUUCUAGGUGGUAUAUUACUAUAUUGACUCUCGCAUUAUUACGUGGUGUUAUGAGAAGUGAAGAGGUGAAAUUAUAUCCGAGACUAUGUAACUAAAUAUAUAUCAUGAAGUAGUAUGAGGUCUGUGAAUUCCAUGUCUGAGGUGGUAAAGCUAUAUAUAAAUGUAUGGAUAUAUCUUUUAGAUUAUUGUGACUAUACUAUCACCUAUUAUAUUCU